AUUGAACGCUGGCGGCAGGCCUAACACAUGCCAGUCGAGCGGAUGAAGGGAGCUUGCUCCUGGAUUCAGCGGCGGACGGGUGAGUAAUGCCUAGGAAUCUGCCUGGUAGUGGGGGAUAACGUCCGGAAACGGGCGCUAAUACCGCAUACGUCCUGAGGGAGAAAGUGGGGGAUCUUCGGACCUCACGCUAUCAGAUGAGCCUAGGUCGGAUUAGCUAGUUGGUGGGGUAAAGGCCUACCAAGGCGACGAUCCGUAACUGGUCUGAGAGGAUGAUCAGUCACACUGGAACUGAGAAACGGUCCCGACUCCUACGGGAGGCAGCAGUGGGGAAUAUUGGGCAAUGGGCGAAAGCCUGAUCCAGCCAUGCCGCGUGUGUGAAGAAGGUCUUCGGAUUGUAAAGCACUUUAAGUUGGGAGGAAGGGCAGUAAGUUAAUACCUUGCUGUUUUGACGUUACCAACAGAAUAAGCACCGGCUAACUUCGUG
rnacentral:rRNA from 1 species